GGAAGGAGCUUGAGCUGCCUCCUCCAUGGCUUUCCUGAGGUUUCUCUUCCAGCUAAAGCUGGCAUAACCAGCCCCUUCUCAGUGUAUACACCAGCUCCCUCCGGCUCCCUGCAUCAGCAGAUUGUCAGUAGUGUCCCAGCAGGCACCAGUGUCCCACAGUGUCCAUAGUAGAGGCCUGAAGACUGGUAGCAGGGUUAGGAGGAGGCCCUUCCUUCCCCUGCCUUCAAACAGUUCUUUGAGCCCCAUAUCCACCCUCAGGUGACACGGAUUGGCCUAAAAGAGACUUGGGUAGCACAAAAGCAGUAAGUACUCAGAACUCCUUCCUGAGCCACUCAGAGCUGUUAAGAGGCUCAAAAAUGGAAGAAAGAAGUCACUAUUUCAGUAAAAUCUCUAGUAAUGAUUAAAAAAAUUAAAUUAGUCUUCCCAAGCAUCAUGGGUCAUUUUGGACAAGAUUUUCCAACCUGGCCAUCUUCGUUAGUUUGGAACCCACUCACCCCCUA
rnacentral:lncRNA from 1 species